rnacentral:rRNA from 2 species
GUGCCAGAAGUUUCGGUUAGGCAAAUAGAACAAGUAGUUUACAUUAAAGGUUUAAAGGAUUAGUAGACGGAUUAUAAUCAUAUAAUCUAGAAUAAAAUAAUAUAUAUUUAAUGAAAAAUGGAAGAAAAAGUUAAAUUUUAUGAUAUCUAUUGGACAACCAUUAAAUGAAAGUAUUAAAUAAAUAUUUUAUUGACGUUGAGAUAAUGAAACCUAAAGUAUCAAGUUGGACUUGUUAACCAAUUAGUUUUAGGCGUAAACUAUGUAUAUUAAUAAUUAAUAUAAAAUAUAUUAAUUAUGAAGAUAAUUUAUAAUAUACCACCUGAAAAGUAUAAUCCAGAAUUGAAAUUUAAAACAAUAGGCCGUUUAGUUUUAUUAACAGUGGAUCAUGUUAUUUAAU